GUAUAAACGUUGAUUGGAAAAGUAAAACUUGGGACUGUAACAAGCGAGUCUAGGAUGGUGAAAGCUAGAUUAUAAGUUAAGUUUGAAUAACACCAUGAGUGAUGGAAGAAUUAAGUAGAACCAUCCGUAUUCCUGCGUUAAAGGAAAAAGUGCUAGAUAUUUCUAGAACUAAGGUGGUACCGCGGAUAUUAUUCGCCCUUAAA
rnacentral:ncRNA from 1 species